AUUUCAGAAAAUGGUGGGCGCGCGUUUGAAUUUGUAUGAAAAUCAAGCAACUUUGACACUGUUAUUUGUCUUAAAACUAGUAGACUAAAUAAAACGAGUUGGGCGGCUAAUCACAUGUUCUAUAUAGAUUCACGAAUCGGAAAAUAUAAAGGUUUUUGCUAAUUUUUAUACUCUAAAUUGUUUUCUAAGCAGUUAUUGAUCAUGCAAUCCCUUGACCACUUUUACUCUUGCAUAUAAUGGACUUAACCUUACUAUCUAAGGCUUGAAUUUGUAAAGCUAAAAGUUACUACUAAGUAUUAUGCAUUUCCCAUCAAUCCGCAUAAUCAUACGUACUAAUUUCAUUCUUUAUAUUACAAAUCCGAUGGCCAUAGAUGAUACGCAGCAUUGUUAGCUUCUGUCUAAGUUUUAAGAGCUGAUUCAGGAGGAUUAUGUGUUUCCUUAGGUUUCAAUACUUAUAAUCAUACAAGUUUACGACUUGGCAACUAAUACACAAAUAUUAGUUCAUUCUACCGGAUGUUUCUGACAUGACAGCAGGGGUGAGCAGCACCUUUAUUGAUGCAGCUUCAACGUGUACUAUAUUUAAAUGUGUAGGUAAAUUGGCAUAAAUAAACAAUACUGAUGGCGAGAACCCAGUUAACUAUGUCCAUCAACCAUUCCUGCUGACUUAUUGGCCAUUUUUGCUGCAUUCGAGAGGCCUCCCAGUUCAUUCCAUUAUAUACUUAAUUUCUUUAUUGUAUGGUAAUAAAAUUAGUGAUUGACCAUUUUUAAGGUAUUUACUAUUUAAAUUUUUUAUAUAUAGUUAGUUUUGGUUGUUUUGGACGACUUAGUCGAUCUCUGCUGAAAUGCCUUCCAAGCUUCAGCCGGGAUAUCAUAGCAAAAUCUGAUAAUGUGACGUCACAAGAGAGCUGUUAGUUAACAUUAAAAGUAACGGGACUGCUCUUUGCGCAACCUACUGUGUCUUUUAACAGUGACUCUUCACUAAGUAAAUUCGUGUUUCAGAUAUCGUUGGUAAUGUAAAAUCACAAACCAGAGUACACAUAGAUUAGACAUGUAGAACAAAUGUUUUCAACGACAAAAAAAUGCGUUGAAGAGACUAGACAACUUCGUAUUUGCUCGGCUCAGUCAUUUGAGGCUCGAGCAGUGAAAAUCUUACACGACGGAGUCAGUGCCAGCGUGACCGAAUAUAGUAUUUUAAAUACUUUUUGGUAUUUUAUCAGCUCUGAUUUUGCUCAAAAUCAUGGUAUAUAGGUAUUUAGUAGCAUUUUUCUUCGAUUUUACGGUAUUAUAUGGUAUUUUCGGUUUGGUCACUCUUUAAGUCUUAAUGAAUCGAAUGCUUAAUGCUUAAGACUUGCUUAAUUUUAAAACAAAUAAAUAGAAAACAUGAGCAAUAAGCAAAAAUAUAGAGCUGAGUGGAAGACUAUGCCGGAAAAUGAAAAAUGGCUGGGCAGGAGCGCAAAUAAUAUGGAUGCGCUCUGCAAAGCGUGCCAGACUGACAUUUUGAGUAGGCUGGCGUCACUUAAGCAGCACGCGGCUACACAAAAACAAAGAUAAUAUGAAAUACUUCUGUGGAAAAUCAAAGAGUCGGACAACACUAGCUACCUCUAUCAAAAAGGCAGAAAUUAUAUUUGCUGCAGCCAUUGCUGAACACAACAUACAGGGUGACCGCGCCGGACCAAACGAAAAAUACCAAUUUGGUCUCAAAAAUAUACUAUAAAAUACUAUUUCAUAUAUUACAAAA